rnacentral:lncRNA from 1 species
UUGAUGCAGAUGAAUUUCAGGAAGAACUGGGAGAGUAGAAACAAAAUUGUCAGCACUUCUCCAUGGAAACCCCAUGGAGGUUUCAGGGCUGAGGACAGCGCUGGGGAAGUCCUGGGGCCCCCAGAAGCCAGAGGUGGGGUAACAAGAGGAUGGGUGGAUGACUUACGCAGGGAGCAGCCCUCUGAAACCGCCGGAAUCGAGGCCUCCUUUGCACCUUGAUUCCACCCAGAGUCUGCGCCUACGCUUUGGGCAGGGGAGGCAGAACCCACGUUGGUCUAAGAGCAGGGAGAAGUGGGCAUGAUCCUACCAUGCUGCAGGGCCUCGGGAUGGGGAUGGGAUUUGCUGCUCUUUGUGCCCAAUUAAUGAGCGAGACGAACAAGCACACUGAGUAGCUUCCUGCCAGCCGUCCCCUUUGGCAGCAAACUCAUCCCCACCUCUGGGCCUUGGCUCGAGUUGUUAGCCAACUCAACCUUGAAGCCGUCCCUUCCUAUCAGCCCAUGCAAAUUCUGCCAUCAGCCAAGGACCGCCUCUUCCUCUUCCGGGAAGCUGACUUCAAGCCAUGCCCUUCCCUUUUGCAAGCUCCCGUGGCUCGCGACCCGCAGCCCACCCCUGCACCAGUGGACACUGCGGGAUGGCCUGGCCUCGGCUCUGCAUUUUCACUUCUCUUAGCUCUCAUCUCCUCCACCACAGAGACAGCUCUGUCUGAGUAUCUUUCUGAUACUGUUCUUUAUCCCCCAGGACUGGCCCAGCCCAGGGCGGAAGAACUUAUUAGUUUGAAUUACAAACAACAGAAGUAGAAAACUCCACAAGGAAAAAUCUCAGCUGGUGAAGAAGCUCAGGAGCUCACAGAAGGUGAGCACUUGGGGGUAAGUGGGCUGGGCACCUCAGGAGUUUUGUGAUGUCCAAAAGGAGAUGUGGGUGACGUAGGGUUUAAAACCCGCACCUGUAGGACCAGUCAAAUGGAGACAGAGUUGGCUUCCCAGAGCUACCGCAAGGGCACGAGGUAGGAGGACCAAGCUACCAGUUACUGAAUGGGCACUGAGCAGCUAUAAUGUGUGCACUAAGCUUGUCCUGUCUUAAUCCCAAAACAGUGUGAUGAAGUAAUCAAACCAUCGCCAUCGGCUAAGGAAACCGAGGGGUGCAGAGCUGAUGUCGCUUGGCCCGCAAGCCACGGAGAGUGGGAGCAAGAGGAGGUUUGGUCAGGCUGCCUCUGCCCCUGUCUUUCUCGGCCCACAGGCUCCAAGCAGGCAGGACCAGACCGCAGCUUCCAGGUGCUGGGAUCCGGGGACCACACCUUCACCUGCUGCUCUCUUGAAGGAAAAACAAAUAUCUGCCUCUGGCAGGUAAAAAAAAAAUAAAAGGAGUGCGUCUCA